rnacentral:rRNA from 1 species
CCUACGGGAGGCAGCAGUGAGGAAUAUUGGUCAAUGGACGAGAGUCUGAACCAGCCAAGUAGCGUGAAGGAUGACUGCCCUAUGGGUUGUAAACUUCUUUUAUAUGGGAAUAAAAUGUUCCACGUGUGGGAUUUUGUAUGUACCAUAUGAAUAAGGAUCGGCUAACUCCGUGCCAGCAGCCGCGGUAAUACGGAGGAUCCGAGCGUUAUCCGGAUUUAUUGGGUUUAAAGGGAGCGUAGGUGGAGUGUUAAGUCAGUUGUGAAAGUUUGCGGCUCAACCGUAAAAUUGCAGUUGAAACUGGCAGUCUUGAGUACAGUAGAGGUAGGCGGAAUGCGUGGUGUAGCGGUGAAAUGCUUAGAUAUCACGAAGAACUCCGAUUGCGAAGGCAGUUCACUGGACUGCAACUGACACUGAGGCUCGAAAGUGUGGGUAUCAAACAGGAUUAGAUACCCUAGUAGUC